ACACCUACCCGACAGGGGAGACGCCAGGCUCACAGGUGUGGUUUUCGGGGCGAGGCCUGUGCAUUGCACUCUGGAUGUGCCGGCCCCUGCGAUUCCCCAAGCACGGGCACUCGGCUGCAUCGUUUGUGGUAGUGGCGGACUGCGUUGGUGCUCUUCCCUG